rnacentral:rRNA from 1 species
GAUCCUGGCUCAGGACGAACGCUGGCGGCGUGCCUAACACAUGCAAGUCGAACGGAAGCAGAGAUUUCGGUUUUUGCUUUAGUGGCGAACGGGUGAGUAACGCGUGAGGAACCUGCCUUUCAGUGGGGGACAACAGUUGGAAACGACUGCUAAUACCGCAUAAUGCUUUUUGAUGGCAUCAUUGAAAAGCCAAAGAUUUAUUGCUGAAAGAUGGCCUCGCGUCUGAUUAGCUAGUUGGUGGGGUAACGG